ACAAUGUGGAACAGAGUGUUAGUGUACCAUCAUUUCACUGGACUAACGUCGUAAACACUACUAGACGCUACUAGAUGGUUCGGUUCACGUUAGUUGGAUUCAGUAGUUAUUUGAAAUCAGUGAUAUUGGUGUGUAACGGUGUAUAACUCUAGUAUAUUUCCCAGAAAACUCAUUUCUAGGCAAUUGCCUUUACCGCGUUGUUAACGAGCAUGAUCUUUCAAUUGGAGUUGCUUGGAAUGAACUACAGAAGUUUACAGCAGAACUGAACUAACCCACAAUAGCCAGAUAAUUGUUACCGUUUUCUACUGCCAGCCAUCAUUCCACGAAUGCUCCAAACGCUCCAAACUGGCCCAUAUUAUCAUAGGGUUUGGUGCAGCAGACCGGAGCAGACCCAGUGCUAAGGCACUGCGUAAGAGAAGUUAAAUUAAAAUUAGAAAGCAUAUGGAAUUUUAAGUAAUAAUAACUGUGUUAUCGAUUUUAACACCAUUUUAUUUAAAAUAUGAAAUGUUGCAUUUACACGUGAUGUGAAAAAGCGGACAUCUUAUACGGUGGAACAGUUUUGUCAUAGCUGCGACGACUGAUGAUGGCCGUUUGCGACCAGAACGUCGUGAAGAGGAGUGACAGAAAUAGUUGCAUUGUUGACGGAAAUAUAUUGUCCAUAACAAACGAUAUAUUAAUGCAACAGGAUGAUUAAUACAAUAUUAUCUCAUACCACUCUACAGUUUCUUAGAUGGGCUGGCAGCACUGAAAAUCCCAUUCUCCAUAGUGAAGGACACUGUUUGGUGUGAAGCAAGCAAGGAGCGUUCAGGAAUUCCUCACAUGCCUCUUUCAUGUCGCCUGUGAGAAGCUUGACUUCUUACUGAAGAAUGAGUGCCCAAGAUCCCUUCCCCUCACAUGACUAUUGUUCACCAAUCAUGAAUUGGCCCUGUAGCGAAGCAGGAUUUUGGAAACCAACAGUAGGAGGGGCAUAAACAUGAUGCAAAUUGCAGGAGAAUUUUAAUUUGUGAUUGUUGGUACCUCUGGAGGGGCUGGAGACUGCUGUCUCGGCUGGCAGAGGAUGUGACUGAGUCUGGACCUAACAAGGAGGAUUCAGGAAUGGUUCCCCUCUCUUCUGCGCUCCAUCUACAUGGAGGGCAUGUCACUAGGUGCUAGCAGUGAGGAGUCUGUGAAGCCAAGGAGUUUGGUGGCAUCCAGUGAAGAAGUCAUUGUUCAACGAUUUCAUUGUGUUUGGGCUGAACAUGGAGGAUCUUAAGAGGGAUAUGUAGCAAAUUCUCCCUGUUACUAUGCGCCAUCUGCAAGCAUUUUCUGUAGCAAAGGGGGAGAUAGAAUCCAAGGAGAUGAGAUGCUGGAGAGACCUAUUGACUGCACCAAGAAGAUGAGAUGCUGGAGAGACCUACUGACUGCACCAAGAAGAUGAGAUGCUGGAGAGACCUACUGACUGCACCAAGAAGAUGAGAUGCUGGAGAGACCUACUGACUGCACCAAGAAGAUGAGAUGCUGGAGAGACCUACUGACUGCACCAAGAAGAUGAGAUGCUGGAGAGACCUACUGACUGCACCAAGAAGAUGAGAUGCUGGAGAGACCUACUGACUGCACCAAGAAGAUGAGAUGCUGGAGAGACCUACUGACUGCACCAAGAAGAUGAGAUGCUGGAGAGACCUACUGACUGCACCAAGAAGAUGAGAUGCUGGAGAGACCUACUGACUGCACCAAGAAGAUGAGAUGCUGGAGAGACCUACUGACUGCACCAAGAAGAUGAGAUGCUGGAGAGACCUACUGACUGCACCAAGAAGAUGAGAUGCUGGAGAGACCUACUGACUGCACCAAGAAGAUGAGAUGCUGGAGAGACCUACUGACUGCACCAAGAAGAUGAGAUGCUGGAGAGACCUACUGACUGCACCAAGAAGAUGAGAUGCUGGAGAGACCUACUGACUGCACCAAGAAGAUGAGAUGCUGGAGAGACCUACUGACUGCACCAAGAAGAUGAGAUGCUGGAGAGACCUACUGACUGCACCAAGAAGAUGAGAUGCUGGAGAGACCUACUGACUGCACCAAGAAGAUGAGAUGCUGGAGAGACCUACUGACUGCACCAAGAAGAUGAGAUGCUGGAGAGACCUACUGACUGCACCAAGAAGAUGAGAUGCUGGAGAGACCUACUGACUGCACCAAGAAGAUGAGAUGCUGGAGAGACCUACUGACUGCACCAAGAAGAUGAGAUGCUGGAGAGACCUACUGACUGCACCAAGAAGAUGAGAUGCUGGAGAGACCUACUGACUGCACCAAGAAGAUGAGAUGCUGGAGAGACCUACUGACUGCACCAAGAAGAUGAGAUGCUGGAGAGACCUGCUGACUGCGCCAAGAAGAUGAGAUGUUGGAGAGACCUGCUGACUGAGCCAAAGAGAGUUAAAUCAGCUGAAACACAAGGUGAUCACUGACCUCUGUACCUCUUAGAUGCAAGCCGUGCUGGGUGUGUUUUGGGGGAGAAACAACAGUUAGUUUUGUCAUGUUGACCUGCCUCAGAGGCUGCCUACAACUGGGGCUCUGCAGUCCUCCAAAGAAGCAGUUCUGAGAUUCUCCAUGCCCUGCCUACUCCCUUACAGUACUCAACUAGGGGGGAUAUGAGAGAAAUUUUAUCAUGUUUAUAAUGCACUGUAGAAAUUACAUUUCACUUCAUAACCAAGGGGUGCCAUUGAACUACUUCAAGGUAUGUACUUCUCUCAGCCUCUGAAGUUUGUUGGCAGCUCAGGAAGAUUUUCGGUGGUUUUCCAGUGUCUGUAUGGCUAUAUCUACAAACUCGUCGAUCUUGUAUAUUAACUUUCCAUGUCUUCAGUAGAAUCGUUUAGGAAGAAUGCUUCAAGCUAUAUGGCUCACAUCUGACUCACAAAAGGAACAAAUUGUGAGGAAAGAGUCUGAUUUAUACUAGAAAACUUGCUGAAACAGGAAAGAAAUUGGUGAAAUCUGCAAAUAAUAAAAUGAAGGUCAUGACAAUGGACCAGAGGACGUUGGCUGGAUCCAAUUGUUGCUGAAUUUAAAAGAAUUUUGAAGGAAUAAAGAAAUAAAAUGAAAUUGGAGUGAGCAAAGGUGUUAGAAGAUGGAACAAAAUGGAAAGAUUUACAAGGCAUAAAGAAGCAUUAGAGAAAGCACUGAAGAUGGGAAUGAUGCAUGAAGAAGAUUAAGGGAUAUUAUAAAAAGAGACUGAGAAAUAAUUAGUAAGAUAUUGAAAGAAGAAAGAAAUUAAGAUAAGAGAAUAAACAAGGCAGACCAGAGUUAUGUUUGGUGCUAAACUAAUAACUCACAAUAUGAUUCAUUUGUGUUCAUGUGUUAAUAAUGUAUGUUUUAUAUUUGAAAUGGAUCAUCUAAAUCAGUGGUUCUCAACUGGGGUUAUGCCAUAUUUAGGAGGGGCCACAGGCAGAAGUGUGAAAAAUUGGGGGCCAUGGAAAUUGUUAAGUGGGCCACAAAAAUUUCACUUCUAAAAUAAAAUUGUUAAUAAUAUAAAAGAUAAAAAUGCCAAAUGGUGAGUACAUAUAAUAACACAAUAACUCAGUUUCCUUGUUUUUGUGUACCUUACUUAGAAGGGACAGAACCUAUUGUACUUAACCGCGACCUUGGAUCUGGGAAUUCCAAGUACUGAUAAACAGGUACUUGCCUUCUUGGAGCAGGCAAAGUCCUAACAAAAUGAUCAACUGGAAAAAAUGAGUCUUUAUUUUCCUAAAUAGCUCCCAUUCUUCUCAUGACUUUUACCACCACAUUUUUCAGUAAAUUUCAGAUGUUCUUCAGUUCAGUAUUCAGGGUGUUUUGAAGGAGACAUUUUUCUGUGCAAGUUCUAUUAUUGUGGCAGUUCCCUACUUUGAAGGUAACUUACAAACUCCAGCUACUGUUUUUUGACAACUAAGCAUUACUUUUCAUAAUAAUUUGAACUUUCAUUACAAACAAAUUAUUAGCAUUCAAUAGAAUUUAAAUACCCCCUCUCAACAAAAGAAGAAAUGCUGUGAAAUGAGUACAGCGGUUUUGUGUUUAUUUUAAGUAGAAUGGCUUCCAAAGUAACUUUUAUGAAUAUUAACUUCCAAAAUUUUCCACAUCUUAAAUUUAGAAAUAAGGCAGUCAUAAAUUUUAAAAAUUCAAACUGACAAAAAAAAAUUUCCGUAUACCAGUUUGCUUGGUUUAUGUUCAAAGAUAUAGAUACAAUUUCAUAUAGAUAUGCAUAUUUCGAUUCUGGGAUAGUAUUGGAUGUCGUGAGUUAAUGUAAUUUCCUUCAUUGGCCACUGUUGACAUUGAAUUGCAAGAUGACCUUUUUGUGUAUAUUGAGCACUUGAAGAAUAUGUACAAUGAUUUGAAAUUUCUGUUUAGUGACCUGUUAGAGAAGACUAUCCCAGACUGGGUGGUCCAUCCAUCUGAGGAAAAUGUGGUUGAUGUUGACAUCGAAUUACAAGAAUAUCUCAUUAAACUGCAAAGUGAUAUAAUAGACCAAGCUAGAUUAAAAAACGACAAACAUCUUUGGAUAAACAGUGAAAUUGCCAAUAACUUUCCACAGCUUUGUGAGAAGGUAGAAUUGUUUUUUAUCAGAAUUCCUAUUUCAUACCUUGCUGAACCUCUAUUUAGUUAAGUUCAUCUGUUAUCAAAGGUUCGUAACUUUCUCAAUAUUGUGAACAGAGGUGAUCUUGAAUUAUCUCUAACAACGCUGCAACCAGAUAUACAAAAACUUACUUGUUCUCAGCAGCAGCAAGGAUCUCACUAAACCUAAGGGAUAAUAAUAAUAAUGUAUUAUUUUUUGUUAGGACCAUAAUUAUAUGUUGUAAAUAAAUAAAAUAUGAUAUGACUAACAAUUCUAUUAUAAAUAGAGAUUGUAGUUAAUAAACAUCUUUUAUUAUUUAUAUUGUUUAUAAACAAAAAAUACCUGUUUAAAAAAGUGCAGUUAAUAAAGUAUAUAUUUUUA